GAUGAACGCUGGCGGCGUGCCUAAUACAUGCAAGUCGAGCGAACAGACGAGGAGCUUGCUCCUCUGACGUUAGCGGCGGACGGGUGAGUAACACGUGGAUAACCUACCUAUAAGACUGGGAUAACUUCGGGAAACCGGAGCUAAUACCGGAUAAUAUAUUGAACCGCAUGGUUCAAUAGUGAAAGACGGUUUUGCUGUCACUUAUAGAUGGAUCCGCGCCGCAUUAGCUAGUUGGUAAGGUAACGGCUUACCAAGGCAACGAUGCGUAGCCGACCUGAGAGGUGGAUCGGCCACACUGAAACUGAGCCACGGUCCAGCCCCCUACGGGAGGCAGCAGUAGGGAAUCUUCCGCAAUGGGCGAAAGCCUGACGGAGCAACGCCGCGUGAGUGAUGAAGGUCUUCGGAUCGUAAAACUCUGUUAUUAGGGAAGAACAAAUGUGUAAGUAACUAUGCACGUCUUGACGGUACCUAAUCAGAAAGCCACGGCUAACUACGU
rnacentral:rRNA from 1 species